rnacentral:rRNA from 1 species
UAGGGAAUCUUCCGCAAUGGCCGCAAGUCUGCCGGAGCAACGCCGCGUGAGUGAAGAAGGAUUUCGGUUCGUAAAACUCUGUUGUUAGAGAAGAACAGCGCAUAGAGUAACUGUUAUGCGUGUGACGGUAUCUAACCAGAAAGCCACGGCUAACUACGUGCCAGCAGCCGCGGUAAUACGUAGGUGGCAAGCGUUGUCCGGAUUUAUUGGGCGUAAAGCGAGCGCAGGCGGUCAAUUAAGUCUGAUGUGAAAGCCCCCGGCUCAACCGGGGAGGGUCAUUGGAAACUGGUUGACUUGAGUGCAGAAGAGGAGAGUGGAAUUCCAGGUGUAGCGGUGAAAUGCGUAGAUAUAUGGAGGAACACCAGUGGCGAAGGCGACUCUCUGGUCUGUAACUGACGCGGAGGCUCGAAAGCGUGGGUAGCAAACAGG